rnacentral:rRNA from 1 species
GAUGAACGCUGGCGGCGUGCCUAAUACAUGCAAGUCGAGCGAACAGACGAGGAGCUUGCUCCUCUGACGUUAGCGGCGGACGGGUGAGUAACACGUGGAUAACCUACCUAUAAGACUGGGAUAACUUCGGGAAACCGGAGCUAAUACCGGAUAAUAUAUUGAACCGCAUGGUUCAAUAGUGAAAGACGGUUUUGCUGUCACUUAUAGAUGUAUCCGCGCCGCAUUAGCUAGUUGGUAAGGUAACGGCUUACCAAGGCAACGAUGCGUAGCCGACCUGAGAGGGUGAUCGGCCACACUGGAACUGAGACACGGUCCAGACUCCUACGGAAGGCAGCAGUAGGGAAUCUUCCGCAAUGGGCGAAAGCUUGACGGAGCAACGCCGCGUGAGUGAUGAAGGUCUUCGGAUCGUAAAACUCUGUUAUUAGGGAAGAACAAAUGUGUAAGUAACUAUGCACGUCUUGACGGUACCUAAUCAGAAAGCCACGGCUAACUACGUG